GACGAACGCUGGCGGCGUGCCUAAUACAUGCAAGUAGAACGCUGAAGGAGGAGCUUGCUUCUCUGGAUGAGUUGCGAACGGGUGAGUAACGCGUAGGUAACCUGCCUGGUAGCGGGGGAUAACUAUUGGAAACGAUAGCUAAUACCGCAUAAGAGUAGAUGUUGCAUGACAUUUGCUUAAAAGGUGCAAUUGCAUCACUACCAGAUGGACCUGCGUUGUAUUAGCUAGUUGGUGGGGUAACGGCUCACCAAGGCGACGAUACAUAGCCGACCUGAGAGGGUGAUCGGCCACACUGGGACUGAGACACGGCCCAGACUCCUACGGGAGGCAGCAGUAGGGAAUCUUCAGCAAUGGACGGAAGUCUGACCGAGCAACGCCGCGUGAGUGAAGAAGGUUUUCGGAUCGUAAAGCUCUGUUGUAAGAGAAGAACGAGUGUGAGAGUGGAAAGUUCACACUGUGACGGUAUCUUACCAGAAAGGGACGGCUAACUACGUG
rnacentral:rRNA from 1 species